UCAGAACAAUGGAGCAGUGUACUUUCCUUGAAGGUGUCACACCGAAUACAUAUGAUGCUAAACUUACUGGGCCUUGGUUGCGGCAGUGAAGAUGUCACACUGAAUACAUAUGAUGGCCAACCUGCUGGGUUUUGGCUGCAGCAGUGUGCAACAAAGCCUACACCGAUAGAGAAAGAAGAGGCAUAUAAUGAAGGUCAUUGGAUAUUUGGUUCUUCGGAUCCUGUCAAUUAGACUGAAAGCCACGUUUGGAAUCAUCCAUUUAAGUCAACAAUGAGAGCCAACCUGCUGCUAAACGGUAUGUUCCUCUUUCCUGAGUAAGAAAAAUCAUAUUUUAUUUACAUGCACCGAUUGAUUGUAUCAGUUAACCCAAAAUUCUUAUUUUUGAGUUCAAGAAAAUAAAUGUGAUGUUUCCAAUUUGAUCGCGGAUGUUUUUAU